AGUGAACGCUGGCGAUAGGCCUAACACAUGCAAGUCGAACGGCAGCACAGUAAGAGCUUGCUCUUACGGGUGGCGAGUGGCGGACGGGUGAGGAAUACAUCGGAAUCUACUUUUUCGUGGGGGAUAACGUAGGGAAACUUACGCUAAUACCGCAUACGACCUACGGGUGAAAGCAGGGGAUCUUCGGACCUUGCGCGAUUGAAUGAGCCGAUGUCGGAUUAGCUAGUUGGCGGGGUAAAGGCCCACCAAUGCGACGAUCCGUAGCUGGUCUGAGAGGAUGAUCAGCCACACUGGAACUGAGACACGGUCCAGACUCCUACGGGAGGCAGCAGUGGGGAAUAUUGGACAAUGGGCGCAAGCCUGAUCCAGCCAUACCGCGUGGGUGAAGAAGGCCUUCGGGUUGUAAAGCCCUUUUGUUGGGAAAGAAAAGCAGCAGGUUAAUACCCCGCUGUUCUGACGGUACCCAAAGAAUAAGCACCGGCUAACUUCGUG
rnacentral:rRNA from 1 species